rnacentral:tRNA from 1 species
GCGGACGUGGCGGAAUUGGCAUACGCGUACGGCUUAGGACCGUAUCCCUCUGGGAUGAGAGUUCAAGUCUCUCCGUCCGCACCA